rnacentral:rRNA from 1 species
GAUGAACGCUGGCGGCGUGCCUAAUACAUGCAAGUCGAGCGAACGGACGAGAAGCUUGCUUCUCUGAUGUUAGCGGCGGACGGGUGAGUAACACGUGGAUAACCUACCUAUAAGACUGGGAUAACUUCGGGAAACCGUAGCUAAUACCGGAUAAUAUUUUGAACCGCAUGGUUCAAAAGUGAAAGACGGUCUUGCUGUCACUUAUAGAUGGAUCCGCGCUGCAUUAGCUAGUUGGUAAGGUAAAGGCUUACCAAGGCAACGAUGCAUAGCCGACCUGAGAGGGUGAUCGGCCACACUGGAACUGAGCCACGGUCCAGACUCCGACGGGAGGCAGCAGUAGGGAAUCUUCCGCAAUGGGCGAAAGCCUGACGGAGCAACGCCGCGUGAGUGAUGAAGGUCUUCGGAUCGUAAAACUCUGUUAUUAGGGAAGAACAUAUGUGUAAGUAACUGUGCACAUCUUGACGGUACCUAAUCAGAAAGCCACGGCUAACUACGUG